AACAGCAUCAACCUCAUGGAAACCUUCUUGUCCGGGCAGCUCCCUGAUGCACUGCAUGCCAUGGUGUCCCUUGAGAUUCUUGAUUUCUCAUAUAAUGGAAACAUGGCUACAAUGCCAAGAAGCUUGAGAAACCUCUGCAACCUGAGGUACUUAGACCUCGACUCGAGCCUCGUUGGUGGCCAGGACAUUGGCAAGCUAAUGGAAAGCCUGCCGCAGGGAUACCCAUCCAACAGGUUGCAACAAUUGUACCUAGCAAACAAUGGUAUGGUUGGAACCUUGCCAAAUUACAGGAGUUUGAGGCACCUGACCGGUGGGUUGCAAAUUCUUGAUCUCUCUUACAACAACCUCACGGGAUCGAUACUGUUGUCCAUGGGAAAUCUUAGUAGCUUGGACACUCUUGACAUAUCUUACAAUAUACUCACUGGAUCAGUACCCACAGGGGAAGGAUAUUUUGCUGGUUUGAGCACCCUUGUACUAUCCUACAAUCACCUUGCUGGUAACAUACCUACAGGAAUUGGGCGCUUUGCUAGAUUAAGCACUCUAGAUCUUCGUGGCAACUACCUCACUGGACAUGUCCCACCUCAUCUUGGUAUGCUCGCUAAUCUGACUUACCUAGAGAUUAGUCUCAAUGAUCUCCAUGGUGUGCUUACGGAGCAGCACUUUGCUAAAAUGGCUAGUUUAGAGACAUUGGACCUAUUGUAGAACCCCCUACUCAAGAUUCACGUGGAUUCAGAAUGGAAGACUCCCUUCAAGCUUAGAGAUGCAAAAAUUUUGUUGUGCAUUAUGGGUCCCCUUUUUCCUGCCUGGCUCCAGUGGCAGGUGAAUCUUACUUACGUUGACCUCAGCUCAGGUAUAACCGAAUAUCUUCCGGACUGGUUCACCACUGCAUUUUCAACAAUGGAUUUUCUGGAUAUGUCCAACAAUUCAAUAUAUGGCGAGUUGCCGGCAAAUAUGGAGGACAUGUCAAUGACACAAUUCUUUCUCGAUUCCAAUAGACUUACUGGGCCCAUACCAAGUCUACCAAGGAAUAUCAUCUACUUGGAUAUCUCCAUGAACUCUUUAUCAGGGCCUUUCCCAUCCAACCUUGGAGCUCCAGGACUAGAAACACUGCUUAUGUUCUCGAAUGGCAUCGUGGGUCAUCUUCCUGAAUCAAUCUGCCAUUCACAGAAGUUGAUAGUCUUAGACUUAGAAAACAACCUUCUCGUUGGAGAACUACCUCCAUGUUCUAGAAUGGAAUCCUUGAGGUACCUACUGUUAAGUAACAAUAGCUUCUGUGGACCAUUCCCACCAUUUAUACAGAGCUGCAAAAAUUUGGGUCUCUUGGAUCUUGCAUGGAAUAACUUAUCUGGAACAUUGCCGAUGUGGAUUGGCAACUUGGUGCAACUACAAUUUGUACAGUUGAGUUAUAACAUGUUCUCUGGGAAGAUCUCGGUCAUCAUCACAAAACUCAAGUUCCUUCAUCAUUUGAAUCUAGUAGGAAAUAAUAUAUCCGGAUCCAACUCACUGGGUAUGUCAGACCUAACAGCAAUGACACAGAUGGAGGUAAGGAUUGGCUUGUUUCCUUAUCAGGCGUAUGCAAAUGCGGCGGGUGAAGGUGGAAAUAGCUUGUCUGCUGUCACCAAGGUGUAAGAACUUAAGUAUGGUGUAGGAAUUUUCGAUAUGGUGAGCAUUGACUUAUCAUUCAAUGGGUUAACUGGGAUAAUUCCAGAGGAAAUUGCUUCUCUUGAUGCACUGUUAAACAUAAACGUGUCUUGGAAUCGCCUGAGCGGUAAAAUCCCAAAUAUUGGGGCGAUACAGUCACUUGAGUCACUCGACCUCUCAAAGAACAUGCUCUCUGGCGAGAUCCCUUCAACCUUGUCAAAUAUAACAUACUUAAGCUUCCUGAACCUAUCUGAAAACAAUCUUAUAGGAAGAAUACCACCAGGCUCACAGCUUGACACCAUGUACCAGGAGCACCCAUCUAUAUACAAGGGCAACAGUGGGCUUUGCGGACCUCCUCUUGAGAAGAAUUGCUCGACAAAUGGUACAUUAACGCAAGAUGAUCAGAGCAGAACUGGCCAUGGUUUUGAGCCAAUGUCUUUUAGAUUUGGUCUUGUUCUAGGUCUGCUUCUCGGCUUUUGGUUGGCGCUCUUCACCCUUCUAUUCAUGAAAGCAUGGAAGAUUGCUUAUUUCCGCCUCUUCGACAAGCUGUAUGAUCAGAUAUAUGUGCUUAUCGUUGUUAAAUGGAGAAGAUUGGCUAGAGGAAGAACAACAGAUUAG
rnacentral:rRNA from 1 species